rnacentral:misc_RNA from 1 species
CCUGAGGUUCGCCCUAUCUCCGCUCUCCAUCAGUCUCUGCUCGUGUGAAUAGCAUAACACAGCGCUGAUAAUUGGAUAUCGAAGUUGAGGACUUGGCUUUAAAAUUGAAGUCGACUACCAAAAUUCUAGCUUAACCAAAAACCAUAACAACUCGUAUAGAAGUCGAAAAAGGUCCAAGAAAUAAGAGAAGACGAUGGCGGCGCAAGGAGGGAGCUUGAAGGCCACCUCCAUAAAUGGAGUCAAGAUGUAUACGGUUUCAUCGCAGCAGCGUUCUCUCGCCACCUGGCUUCCCCCCAAGA